rnacentral:rRNA from 1 species
UGCCUAACACAUGCAAGUCGUACGAGAGGGCCAUUUCGGUGGUUAGUAAAGUGGCGCACGGGUGAGUUAUACGUAGAUAAUCUACCCCAUUGUCUGGGAUAACUCCCUGAAAAGGGAGCUAAUACCGGGUAUUGAUCACAAAGCAUAAGUUUUGUGAUCUAAAGCUUAGGCGCACUGGGAUGGGUCUGCGCUCCAUUAGCUAGUUGGUGUGGUAAUGGCUCACCAAGGCUACGAUGGAUAACGGGUUUGAGAGGAUGAUCCGUCACACUGGGACUGAGAUACGGUCCAGACUCCUACGGGAGGCAGCAGUGGGGAAUAUUGCGCAAUGGAGGAAACUCUGACGCAGCAAUGCCGCGUGAGUGAAGAAGGCCUUCGGGUCGUAAAGCUC